UCGAGAAUCUUUCACAAUGGGGGCAACCCUGAUGGAGCGACGCCGCGUGGAGGAUAAGGUCUUCGGAUUGUAAACUCCUGUCAUGCGAGAGCAAGGCAUAGCAAUAUGUUUGAUAGUAUCGCAAGAGGAAGAGACGGCUAACUCUGUGCCAGCAGCCGCGGUAAUACAGAGGUCUCAAGCGUUGUUCGGAAUCACUGGGCGUAAAGGGUGCGUAGGCGGCGGAGUAAGUCGGGUGUGAAAUUUGAGGGCUCAACCCUCAACGUGCACUUGAUACUGCUUUGCUAGAGGCCUGAAGAGGAGCUUGGAAUUCUUGGUGUAGCAGUGAAAUGCGUAGAUCUCAAGAAGAACGCUCGCAGCGAAAGCGAAGCUCUGGUCAGGAUCUGACGCUGAGGCACGAAGGCUAGGGGAGCAAACGG
rnacentral:rRNA from 1 species